CCAAUAGCGUAUAUUAAAGUUGUUGUAGUUAAAAAGCUCGUAGUUGAAUUUCGGGGUUAGUAGGUCGGUCAUGCCUCAGGUAUGCACUGGUCUCACUGAUUCCUCCUUCCUGAUGAGCCGUAAUGCCAUUAAUUUGGUGUUGCGGGGAAUCUGGACUGUUACUUUGAAAAAAUUAGAGUGUUUAAAGCAGGCUAACGCUUGAAUACAUUAGCAUGGAAUAAUGGAAUAGGACGUUCGAUCCUAUUUUGUUGGUUUCUAGGAUGGACGUAAUGAUUAAUAGGGAUAGUUGGGGGCAUUAGUAUUCAAUUGUCAGAGGUGAAAUUCUUGGAUUUAUUGAAGACUAACUACUGCGAAAGCAUUUGCCAAGGAUGUUUUCAUUAAUCAAGAACGAAAGUUAGGGGAUCGAAGACGAUCAGAUACCGUCGUAGUCUUAACCAUAAACUAUGCCGACUAGGGAUCGGAUGAUGUUAAUUUUUUAAUGACUCAUUCGGCGCCUUACG
rnacentral:rRNA from 1 species